UUAUUUGUCCUGCUAUCUUGUUUCAUGUUGGUUUUUCUUUCUUGGAUCAUCCGUUUGGUUAAAUUGAGCUCACGGAUAUUGUAAAUUGGUUUGGGCUUGAUUUGUUUCAUAAAGAUGAAAUAGUAGUAGGGGUGAAGUUCUUGUGACAUAGAUUAGUGUGUUUGGAUUUGUUAAAAUAUAAACGUUAUUUGCUUCCAUGGAAUGAGAUUUGAAGUUUGAGUAUCAUCUCCAUGAUUCUGUUACAUUGUAGUUAGAACAUACGAGCUACUUUUUUAAUUUGCAAUUCAAUUGACCAUGGAUCGAUUUGUUAAUUAACAUGGACUCCGAUAGCUGAAUGCAAUUAGUGUCAAAACCUCAAUUGCAUGGCUCUCGUUUAAUUAAUCCU
rnacentral:lncRNA from 1 species